GAAGAGUGGGGAAAGGAAUCAGGCAAACUGAUGAGUCCUCAAAGAUGGAUCUGCAUUAGCUAAAUCAGUGAGGAUUAGAAAAGCCAAUGUGGCCAGAACAGAUUAGGGGAGGGGGGAAAAUAAGACUGGAAAUGUCAGCAGAAUCCAGAUCAUGUGGCAGAAAAUGGCAAUAAUCAUCUUGAAUUGAAAGAAAUUUGGCUUUUCCCAUUCCUUCAGCAUCCUUAAGAUUCGCCAUGCUCUCUUGAAAAUACUGCUCGGCCACAUCUGAAGAAAAGUACCAUAACAAUAUUUGAAGAUUGCUUGUAGAUUUGAAAUGGAAACAGGAUCAAUAUGCUUUUAGUGGUGGCGAACUAUUUGAAAAUAAUAAGUAUUUAGACAAGAGGACCUAGUUAAUCUACCUGUUUCUCAGCAAAGAUUUAGGUCUCAGAAGGAUACAGCAAUUUACUUCCCUUGGUUUUCAUACAUUUUAGCUCUCCAGCAAUAUGUAUCACCCCUUGAAUUCAUCUUUCUCAUAUGGUGAUGUGAGUGCCAGGUGCUUCCAGAGCGGCCUGCAUGAAUACAGCACUCCAGAACUCACGGAGGAGCAGGAAUUGGGUCAGCCUGUGCAGCGAGAAGGCACACUGUAUGCUCUGUGUCCAGAAUGCUGGAUUAAAGAACUCCCCAGGCUCACUGUUCUACCUAUUUCAUGGGGCUAAGAAAAACCAUAUGAGUCAUAAAUGGCAGCUUCCUCUUGGACUCCCAAAACCACAUGAGAAAGCUGAGGUUGCAGAAAGGGUGACUUGCCCAAGAUCGCUCACAGCUAAUAAAGGAUGGAGCUGUCAAACAGAAGAAUCUGGACUCCCACUCAGAUUUUCUGACCUCACAUCCAAUGCUAUUUCAACUUCACAAAGCUAUCUCUCUAAUAAUGAUUGAGGAUGUGAUCAAGAGAGUGAAAAGACAACACAGAAUGUGAGAAAAUAUUUACACAUCAUGUAUCUAGGGUCUAGUAUCCAGUAUGAAGGACUCCUAUCAGUCAACAAUAAAAAGACA